UUCGUAGUCUAGCUGGUUAGGAUACUCAGCUUUCACCCGAGAGACCGGGUUCGAAUCCCGACGAA
rnacentral:tRNA from 1 species